UACGCCGAGCGCGCAUCGACACUUGGAACCGAGCGAUUCUCUCAAAUCGCGCAGAUGCCCACACUAAGUUCCACCUCUCCGAACCAACACCGGCAGAGGGAUAUUUAAGAGCACCGCAAGCGACGAUCCGACAGUCCUGAACGACUGUUCUGGGCUCCAUAACCAGCCAAGCGAAGUGAGCGAGGCAGGCCGACCUGAGUCGCGACGUGCACCGUAUUGACGUGAUUCGAAAACUUAGGCAGGCCAACUCGAGACGCAAGGUGUACCGAAGUGAGGUAAUUUGCGACUCGUAAUUCAACGGAGGCAAGCGUAACGCCCAUCCGGAGGAGGAAUUCGCUGGGACAAAAGAGAAAAUUGAAUUAUUAUUUUGUACAUAAUUUAGAAUUAAUAGAUUUGCUUUGUUUUCAA
rnacentral:lncRNA from 1 species